rnacentral:lncRNA from 1 species
GUGAAAUAAUAUUCAGUAGUUUUAAUGUCAAGACUGUUGAUAUUUUUCAAAUUUGUUUCUUACUUAGCUUAUCAAUUCACCACGCUGAAGAGAAAGUUGUGUAAGGAGGCAUGCUUUUUUCUUCUAACUUUGUUUUUUAUUUUAUAGUAUUACGUGAAAAUUUUAAUUUUUUGGGCUGUCAUCGAACAAAUAUGAGAAAUAGGAGUUGGUAUUUGUUCAAAUAGGAAAUACAUCUCUU